GCCGAAAUCGCUCAGUUGGUAGAGCGUUAGACUGAAGAUCUAAAGGUCCCUGGUUCGAUCCCGGGUUUCGGCA
rnacentral:tRNA from 1 species